AUUUAUUUAGCGCAUACAUAUUCUGAAGCAUUAUACAAUUAUAGCGUGGGAUAACAAGUAACUGACAUACAAAAUAUUAACAGAGACAAGAUGAUGAUUAUUAUAAAGCAUGAUAAAUAGAUUGAAAACUACAGCUCAGUAGUCUGCAGUGGUUAUGGUGCACAGUCAUUUGUCUCUUUUGGAGCAGUUUGACAAAAAAACAUGUCCCACCACCUUGUACGAAUUAGUGCUCUGUAACAAACUGGCCAAUAUUCAUUACACUAUACUUAUCAACCUUUUUUUCAGUUACUAUAAAAUGACUAGGAAUAUUGGAAUUGUUCGCUGUAAGGUACCACUAAUGUCAACAUUUGCAAUGACAAUGGCAUCAUACAAUACAGUACCGAAAGGAAAAAAAAACACAAAAGGAAAACAAACUGUAAAGUAAAAGGAAAAUGAUUACAUUAAAAUGUAUAUUUAAUGUAGCUAUCACCAGAUAUGCUAUGAGUAAGGCAAUGUCCCUGUUUGCUUUCAUCACUUUCGAUCUCAUUGUGUGUCUGUGUUGCUGCAGGUUAGAUGCAGUCUGAUGUAAUGUGCUCUGUGUUUACUGGCACUGUAUUGGCAUUCGAAAUGAGAAUGCAGUCAUGAUGCAAGAGGCUGUGUGAUUGCAAUCGGAUGGAGCGGGCGGCGCUAGGACCGCGGGCAGGCUGGGGCCGAGCUGUUUUACAGCUGCUGGGAUAUAUACGUGCAGAGCUGGCUGUGCUUCUAAUUCCCAUAGUGCGGUCAGUCAGUGUACUGGGCUGCAGGCACUGCCUGGAGGAGGAAUGGGCCAUAGACUCCUGAUAUCUAACAGCUCCAUUAACCCCUGCACAAACAAACAACAUGGCCAUGGAUUUACUUAUCAAAGCCAAACAUGGACUUCAAUGGACAAUACUGAUCUUUAUAUAGAACAAACUGUAA